UGAGGAAUAUUGCCCAAUGGGGGAAACCCUGAGGCAGCAACGCCGCGUGAACGAAGACGGCCUUCGGGUUGUAAAGUUCUUUUCUGGGGGACGAUAAUGACGGUACCCCAGGAAUAAGUUCCGGCUAACUACGUGCCAGCAGCCGCGGUAAAACGUAGGGGACAAGCGUUAUCCGGAUUUACUGGGCGUAAAGCGCACGUAGGCGGUAGGGUAAGUUGGCCGUGAAAGCUCCCGGCUUAACUGGGAGAGGUCGGACAAAACUGCCGGACUUGAGGCUGAGAGAGGAGAGCGGAAUUCCCGGUGUAGUGGUGGAAUGCGUAGAUAUCGGGAGGAACAGCAGUGGCGAAGGCGGCUCUCUGGCUCAGAACUGACGCUGAGGUGCGAAAGCGUGGGGAGCGAACGG
rnacentral:rRNA from 1 species